rnacentral:rRNA from 1 species
CAGCAGCCACGGUAAUACGAAGGGGGCUAGCGUUGCUCGGAAUGACUGGGCGUAAAGGGCGCGUAGGCGGAUUGCGCAGUCAGAUGUGAAAUUCCUGGGCUUAACCUGGGGGCUGCAUUUGAGACGCGUAGUCUAGAGUGUGAAAGAGGGUCGUGGAAUUCCCAGUGUAGAGGUGAAAUUCGUAGAUAUUGGGAAGAACACCGGUGGCGAAGGCGGCGACCUGGUUCAUAACUGACGCUGAGGCGCGAAAGCGUGGGGAGCAAACAGGAUUAGAUACCCCCGUAGUCCCUGUCUCUUAUAC